UACGAAGGCAGGUUGCGUUGUUCGGAAUUACUGGGCGUAAAGCGCACGUAGGCGGGCUGUUAAGUCAGGGGUGAAAUCCCGGGGCUCAACCUCGGAAUUGCCUCUGAUACUGGCAGCCUUGAGUUCGGGAGAGGUUGGUGGAAUUCCUAGUGUAGAGGUGAAAUUCGUAGAUAUUAGGAAGAACACAAGUGGCGAAGGCGGCCAACUGGACCGACACUGACGCUGAGGUGCGAAAGCGUGGGGAGCAAACAGG
rnacentral:rRNA from 1 species